CAAUCGGCCCUUUUCAGGGCCACUAAAGAAACAAAGACCUCUGACAU
rfam:Nasonia vitripennis unplaced genomic scaffold ChrTn_0195, whole genome shotgun sequence.